GGCACCAUGGCCGAGUGGUUAAGGCGACAGAUUCGAAUAUCACGCCUUGCAAUAGGAGUACUCGGGUUAUCUGUUUCCCUAUGGGAGCGCAAGUUCAAGUCUUGCUGGUGUCG